UUCCUUCUUCCCUCUGGAGUGUGGGUUCCUGGAGGACAAGAAUGAACUCUUCUAAUUAACUUCAGUUCUCAGCCUGCUCAGUGUUAGGGCGUUUCUAAGACUUCCAGGGCUCAACUGCGGAAAUAAGAACGGCAACUUCUAAGAUAUCUUCUGGCUCCAGAAUUUCAGGAUUUCAAGACAGUUCUCACUUGGUGCCAAUCAAAGCCCGUCCUUUCUCAAUUCAUGAGACAGGGUCUUUCUACAUAACCCUGGCUGACCCAUAAAACUCACAGAAUCCACCUGUUUUUGCUUCCCAAGGCUGAUGAUAUUAAAGAAUCUCUGAGGAGAAGCAGAAUUUGGAAGGGAAGCACUUUGGAAGGAAAGGAAGGACAACAGAAAAGUGUCUGGUAACUCAAAAGAGGAAAUGAAAGAGGUCUUCAGGUGCCCCACCACCAUAGAAUUUCUGCCCUGGUCAAGUACACUGUGUCUUUUUAUACAGACCAGUCUAG